UACGUAGGGUGCAAGCGUUGUCCGGAAUUAUUGGGCGUAAAGAGCUCGUAGGCGGUCUGUCGCGUCGGCUGUGAAAACCCGAGGCUCAACCUCGGGCCUGCAGUCGAUACGGGCAAACUGGAGUGUUGCAGGGGAGACUGGAAUUCCUGGUGUAGCGGUGAAAUGCGCAGAUAUCAGGAGGAACACCGGUGGCGAAGGCGGUUCUCUGGGCAUUACCUGACGCUGAGGAGCGAAAGUGUGGGGAGCGAACAGG
rnacentral:rRNA from 1 species